GCAUAUCAAUAAGCGGAGGAAAAGAAACCAACCGGGAUUGCCUUAGUAACGGCGAGUGAAGCGGCAAAAGCUCAAAUUUGAAAUCUGGUACCUUCGGUGCCCGAGUUGUAAUUUGGAGAGGGCAACUUUGGGGCCGUUCCUUGUCUAUGUUCCUUGGAACAGGACGUCAUAGAGGGUGAGAAUCCCGUGUGGCGAGGAGUGCGGUUCUUUGUAAAGUGCCUUCGAAGAGUCGAGUUGUUUGGGAAUGCAGCUCUAAGUGGGUGGUAAAUUCCAUCUAAGGCUAAAUAUUGGCGAGAGACCGAUAGCGAACAAGUACAGUGAUGGAAAGAUGAAAAGAACUUUGAAAAGAGAGUGAAAAAGUACGUGAAAUUGUUGAAAGGGAAGGGCAUUUGAUCAGACAUGGUGUUUUGUGCCCUCUGCUCCUUGUGGGUAGGGGAAUCUCGCAUUUCACUGGGCCAGCAUCAGUUUUGGUGGCAGGAUAAAUCCAUAGGAAUGUAGCUUGCCUCGGUAAGUAUUAUAGCCUGUGGGAAUACUGCCAGCUGGGACUGAGGACUGCGACGUAAGUCAAGGAUGCUGGCAUAAUGGUUAUAUGCCGCCCGUCUUGAAACACGGACC
rnacentral:rRNA from 1 species